rnacentral:sRNA from 1 species
UGCAAUGGUGGCACUUCAGCGUCGGCUC